rnacentral:rRNA from 1 species
AGAGUUUGAUCCUGGCUCAGGAUGAACGCUAGCUACAGGCUUAACACAUGCAAGUCGAGGGGCAGCAUGGGUCUUAGCUUGCUAAGGCUGAUGGCGACCGGCGCACGGGUGAGUAACACGUAUCCAACCUGCCGUCUACUCUUGGCCAGCCUUCUGAAAGGAAGAUUAAUCCAGGAUGGGAUCAUGAGUUCACAUGUCCGCAUGAUUAAAGGUAUUUUCCGGUAGACGAUGGGGGAUGCGUUCCAUUAGAUAGUAGGCGGGGUAACGGGCCCACCUAGUCAACGAUGGAUAGGGGUUCUGAGAGGAAGGUCCCCCACAUUGGAACUGAGACACGGUCCAAACUCAUACGGGAGGCAGCA